UAAUUAUAUUCUAAAGCAUACCAAGCCCUUCGUGUUUGCUGCUGGAGUGACUGUGUGCUGCUUUGCCCUUAGAUGAAGCAAUGCUUUCAUAACUUCUGAAGAUGCCUGAAUGGUCUAAGGUGACACACAUAAUUCAUCACCUCCUUCAUCUUACUGCAUUCAUUCGCUGAUUUACCACGUCUUCCUGUGAGCUCCGAGAGCAGGUUCUGUGAUAACUUCUAAAAUAGCACGGAACAGGAGUAGGAGAACUGUGGAAAAAAAACAUCGUUAAACUGAAAUUUCUUGACGCCGCCAGCUGAAGCAGUGUGGCAACAGGAAGGACUAGAACGUUAACAAGGUAUUUUAUUUUUAAAAUUUUGAUGAGCAUCAGAAAGAAAUCAACUUGGAUAAUGAAAGUUUCUUUUUUCUUUGCCUAAUUUUUCCUUGUAAAUAUUUAGAUACUAUUGGCCAGAU